rnacentral:rRNA from 1 species
AUUGAACGCUGGCGGCAGGCCUAACACAUGCAAGUCGAGCGGAUGAAGGGAGCUUGCUCCUGGAUUCAGCGGCGGACGGGUGAGUAAUGCCUAGGAAUCUGCCUGGUAGUGGGGGAUAACGUCCGGAAACGGGCGCUAAUACCGCCUACGUCCUGAGGGAGAAAGUGGGGGAUCUUCGGACCUCACGCUAUCAGAUGAGCCUAGGUCGGAUUAGCUAGUUGGUGGGGUAAAGGCCUACCAAGGCGACGAUCCGUAACUGGUCUGAGAGGAUGAUCAGUCACACUGGAACUGAGACACGGUCCAGACUCCUACGGGAGGCAGCAGUGGGGAAUAUUGGACAAUGGGCGAAAGCCUGAUCCAGCCAUGCCGCGUGUGUGAAGAAGGUCUUCGGAUUGUAAAGCACUUUAAGUUGGGAGGAAGGGCGGUAAGUUAAUACCUUGCUGUUUUGACGUUACCAACAGAAUAAGCACCGGCUAACUUCGUG